UAUGCAUACAGAAUAUCACCCUAAAAAAGGCAUUAGAGAAAAAUAUCUCCAAAUAUGUUGAGUUUAUCUGGAAAUGAGAAAAGAGGAUUAUAAUCUGGAUGCACGAAACGGCAAGCCACAAAUGCAGCUGGCUGGGGAAGGGCAAAGGGAAGUUCUAUUGGCUGAAAGGGAGAAGUUGACAUAAGCUACUUAGAAACUGAGCUAAUUGGUCCCAGAGGCUCCAAGCGAGUUGUCGUCACUUCAUUGGUGAAGAUGGUGUUAUUGAACAAGUGUUUUUUGAGAGCAUUUUAUCUCAAUUACUGCAGUCCUAAAGAAUGUCUAGUGAUAAACUUUGUCAUAAAAAUACAUGUUGAGGCUGGGCGUGGUGGUUCAUGGCUGUAAUCUCAGCACCUUGGGAGGCUGAGACAGGAGGAUCGCUUGAGGCCCUGAGUUUCAGAUCAGGCUGGGCAGCACAGCCAGACCCCGUCUCUACAAACAUUUUUUAAAAUUGGCAGGGUGUGGUGGUGCACGCCUGUAGUCCCAGCUACUCAAGGAAGCUGAGGUGGGAGGAUCCCUUGAGCCCAGGAAUUUGAGGCUGCAGUGAGCUGUCAUUGUGCCACUGCAUUCCAGCCUGGGUGACACAGCGAGACCCUAUUUCAAAAAAAAAAAAAGAGAGAGAAAUACAUAUAUAUUUGCCAAAUGUGCAAGCCAUGCAAAGGAGGAGAUGCAUGUAGGAUGCGGAGGGAUUUCUUGUGGAUUUUUAGAAAGUCCUUGGAAACAUUUCUUAUUUGAGAUGCAAGCCUGAGCCUCCCUCCCCUUUGUCUUCUCAGCCCUAUUUCGUCUGAGUCUUACUAAAGCAAUUUCAUCUUGGCAUCUGCAACUUUUAUAAGAAAAAAAAAUCCCCAAAUCAUAUGAUACAGAACGAAAAAUUAUCACAGAGGUUCACACAUAGACAACCAUCACUCAGGUUAAGAACUGGAACUUUCCUGUCUGGGCAUGGUGACUCACUUCUGUCAACCAGCAAUUUGGGAGGUUGAGGCGAGUGGAUUACUGAGGUGAGGAGUUGGAGACCAGCCUGGAAAAUACGACCAACCCCUAUCUCUAUGAAAAAUACAAAAAUUAGCCAGGUGUGGUGGCACAUG
rnacentral:lncRNA from 1 species